GAUGAACGCUAGCGGCAGGCUUAAUACAUGCAAGUCGAGGGAGAAUGGGGCUUCGGCCCCAGGGAACCGGCGCACGGGUGCGUAACGCGUACACAACCUGCCUUAUACUGGAGUAUAGCCUCGGGAAACUGGGAGUAAUCCUCCAUAACAUUAUCGGGUGGCAUCACCUGGUAAUUAAAGCUCAGGCGGUCUAAGAUUGGUGUGCGUAUGAUUAGCUAGUUGGUAGGGUAACGGCCUACCAAGGCGACGAUCAUUAGCUGGCGUGAGCGCGCGACCAGCCACACUGGAACUGAGACACGGUCCAGACUCCUACGGGAGGCAGCAGUAGGGAAUAUUGGACAAUGGGCGAAAGCCUGAUCCAGCCAUGCCGCGUGAUGGAUGAAGGCCCUCUGGGUUGUAAACAUCUUUUAUCAGGGAAGAAACACCCCGUUUCUACGGGAUUUGACGGUACCUGAUGAAUAAGCACCGGCUAACUCCGUGCCAGCAGCCGCCGUAA
rnacentral:rRNA from 1 species